UUUCCCCUUGGCUCAUUAGAACAACAACAACAAAAAAGUUCUCCACUUUACAACGAUUCAUUACGUUUUCUUAUUUUCACCUGAAUCGUGUUGGGAUCUUGUCUUAACUUGAGAAAGUCUGUCCUAAUGGAAAUCUUAUGUGAGAUUCGAGCUCUAGAUAAGGAAUAAAAGAGGAGAUUUUUGAUCUUGGUGGAAAAAAAAGUAACCGAACAUGGAAGGAGAUGUGAUUUCGGGAUUUGGAGAGAGACACAACAAUGUAGAUGGGAAAGUGCUGCAGAGUUUCAAGAAGAGCUUUGUGGAUGUUCAAGACAUUUUAGAUCAGAACCGGCUUUUGAUCAACGAGAUCAAUCAGAACCAUGAGUCCAAUCAACCCGAUAACUUGAGUCGAAACGUUGGUCUUAUCAAAGAGCUCAACAACAAUAUAAGAAGAGUAGCUAGCCUUUACGGUGAUCUCUCUCAUUCUUUCUCAAGAUCAGUGGAUGCUUCAUCAGAAGGUGAAUCUGGUGGAACCAUUGGGAUAGCUAACCAGAAGAGAUUUAGAUCCGGUUAGUAGAAUAUAUUACCGAGAACCACCCACCAAAGUUGAUCAUUGUAGACCAUAUAUUCAAAGAAUACUCAGUUGUAGUUGCAGGGUACAACAAGAUUGAUGUUGUUGGAAUUGAUGAUGUGGGUAGACUAGACUAGCACGGCAGCCAAAUUCCAUUGUUAUUUAGCUGCAAUCUAAAGGCAAGUUUAUUACACUGAAAACACCAUUUUUCUAGUUUGCAAAGAUGCCAAAUGCCAAAACUCCAGUUCAGUUCUGUUUUAGUUUCCUUCUGCACUCACUGGUCUAACGGCGAAUGACUGGUUUGCUUGAAACAGCUAAACUUAGACAGGCUACUGGGACAAAAUGGCCCUUGUUUUUCUCUGAGCCUCAAAGGCCAUCCCCUAGAUUUCGAUGAGCCUUUUUCAUAGAUUAUAUUUUGAUUUUUGACAAGUCUUCCCUGAGUUCUUGAUAUAUUCAGGUAAAUGUUAAAAUGCAUCCAUAGUGAAAGUAUAAAACAAACAAGAAGGAACAGAGUCGACUCAGAUUCCAAGUUACUGAGAAGUGGCUUAAGUAGCCAAAUAAUUCAAGCUCAAAUAAUUCUCAUCAAUAUUCUUAUAUAUGUAAACGAUAUAAAGAAGCUGUUGUUUAUCUAUGGUUCGUGUAUGUGUUUCACAGGUACCAUUCCGGAAACAUGACAUAAAGAGAAAGCAACAUGGCUCAUUUUAUUUAUCUUCGCCGGCACUUGGCCCAGAGAUAUCUUCCAGUAACUAACCCCGGUGGGUAUAGAUCAGUAGUCUGGUCUGAACCAGCACUGCGUAUUGCAUCAUUGCAAUGUGUGUUGUGUGUAAACCAAUAAGACAAUGAAGUUGCUAAUCUUAACCCUUGUAACUUUAUUGUUCCCCUACAGUGAGUGAAUCACCAAAUCACCAGAUCAACCAGUUGCUAAUUAAAAAAAUAUGUAUUCUGUUAGAAGCACAGCUACAAACUACUUUUAUUUACCAAGCCAUUGAGGUAAGGUAAAGAAGUAAUCAGACAACUUUUACUUUUGUGCAACGUAGACACCAUGUAUAUAUAUCUUUAUAUAA